UAUCAGCUUUCGAUGGUAGUGUAUUGGACUACCAUGGCGAUAACGGGUAACGGAGAAUUGGGGUUCGAUUCCGGAGAGGGAGCCUGAGAAACGGCUACCAUUUCUAAGGAAGGCAGCAGGCGCGUAAAUUACCCAAUCCUGACUCAGGGAGGUAGUUAAUAGAAAUAAUAGGUUCGGCUCUUUGAGCUCUGAACAUAUAAUGAGGGGAGUCUAAACCACUCUCUGAAUCCUAUUGGAGGGCAAGUCUGGUGCCAGCAGCCGCGGUAAUUCCAGCUCCAAUAGCGUAUAUUAAAGUUGUUGCUGUUAAAAAGCUCGUAGUUGAAGCUCCGGCGCCUGUGCGCCUGUCCGGAAGGGCCCUCGAUACUGUAGAAGGUUUCGGAGGUCUGCACGGACUUUUACUGUGAACAAAUUAAAGUGCUUAAAGCAGGCGUUUGCCUGAAUACUCUAGCAUGGAAUAAUGGAAGAGGACUUUGCCCAUUUUAUUGGUUCUUGGGCGGAGUAAUGGUUAACAGGAACAGUCGGGGGCAUCCGUAUUUGAUAGUCAGAGGUGAAAUUCUUAGAUUUAUCAAAGACGAACUAAAGCGAAAGCAUUUGCCAAGGAUGUUUUCAUUAAUCAAGAACGAAAGUUAGGGGGUCAAAGACGAUUAGAUACCGUCGUAGUCCUAACUAUAAACUAUACCGACUAGGGAUCGGCGGGGAAGCCCCCCGUCGGCACCUAAUGAGAAAUCAAAGUCUUUGGGUUCAGGGGGGAGUAUGGUCGCAAGGCUGAAACUUAAAGGAAUUGACGGAAGGGCACUACCAGGAGUGGAGUCUGCGGCUUAAUUUGAUUCAACACGGGAAAACUUACCAGGGCAAAAAACUGACAGGAUUGACAGCUUGAGAGCGCUUUCUUGAUCCGGUAGCAAGUGGUGCAUGGCCGUUCUUAGUUGGUGGAGUGAUUUGUCCGGUUAAUUCCCUUAACGAACGAGACCUUAACCUGCUAAAUAGGAGCAGUUAAAACCUAGCUGUUUCCUUCUUAGAGGGACUGCCCUCGUAAGGGGGCGGAAGUUUGAGGCAAUAACAGGUCCGUGAUGCCCUUAGAUGUUCUGGGCCGCACGCGUACUACACUGAUGCAUCCAGCAAGUUGACCUAACCCGAAAGGGCUUGGGCAACCUUUACAAACUGCAUCGUGCUUGGGAUAGAUCCUUGUAAUUUUGGGUCUUGAACGAGGAAUUCCUAGUAAGCAUGGGUCAUCAGCCCAUGUUGAUUACGUCCCUGCCCUUUGUACACACCGCCCGUCGCUCCUACCGAUUCGAGUGGUUCGGCGAAUUAUUCGGACCGAGUUUUCUCGGGAAGUUUCGUAAGCCAUAUCACUUAGAGGAAGGAUAAGGCGUAACAAGGUU
rnacentral:rRNA from 1 species